UGCGGCCUUGCGACGGCUUGGACAGGCAAGCUCCAUGAGGCGGCGACCAUGGCAGGAUCCGGCGGGUUCUGCACGGGGACGGCGAGGGUGACAGGGUCCUGGCCGGAGGCGACGGGGACGAACCAGAUCGGGCAUGAUCCGGGGGCGUCCAUCCCGUUCCCAAAGGCGGCGAGGUCUAGGCUUGACGUCCAUGGCGGCGAUUUAGGACCUCCUCUGCUGUUCCUGCGGGUCACAGAAGAGGGAGAGAUAAAACGUGAGGGAGAGAGGAAGGUAGGCAGAGAGAUGGAGAGGCGGAGGAAGGGCGGCUCGAGGGGACCAGCCUGGUCGGCCUGCUGGUGGAGCUCCGAGGAGGCCGGUCGGCAAGGUGAAGUUGGGGCUCCGGCCAGCACGGCGGGAGCUACUACUCCUGCUUGUUGCCGGGCUACUGGUAGGCGGACACGUCCACGGGGAGAGGAGCCGCGGGAUGGAUUUGGCUGCAGUUUUGCUUGGCGGAGAAAACGAGGUGGGCGGCGGCGGCUGCGGGACAAGACCCCUAGGAGUUAGGGUUUG
rnacentral:lncRNA from 1 species